rnacentral:rRNA from 1 species
AGCAUAUCAAUAAGCGGAGGAAAAGAAACCAACAGGGAUUGCCCUAGUAACGGCGAGUGAAGCGGCAACAGCUCAAAUUUGAAAUCUGGCUCUUUUAGGGUCCGAGUUGUAAUUUGCAGAGGGCGCUUUGGCGUUGGCAGCGGUCCAAGUUCCUUGGAACAGGACGUCACAGAGGGUGAGAAUCCCGUACGUGGUCGCUGGCCUUCGCCGUGUAAAGCCUCUUCGACGAGUCGAGUUGUUUGGGAAUGCAGCUCUAAAUGGGAGGUAAAUUUCUUCUAAAGCUAAAUACUGGCCAGAGACCGAUAGCGCACAAGUAGAGUGAUCGAAAGAUGAAAAGCACUUUGGAAAGAGAGUCAAAUAGCACGUGAAAUUGUUAAAAGGGAAGCGCUUGCAGCCAGACUUGCCCGUAGUUGCUCAUCCAGGCUUUUGCCUGGUGCAUUCUUCUAUGGGCAGGCCAGCAUCAGUUUGGGCGGUUGGAUAAAGGUCUCUGUCAUGUACCUCCUUUCGGGGAGGCCUUAUAGGGGAGACGACAUGCAACCAGCCUGGACUGAGGUCCGCGCAUUCGCUAGGAUGCUGGCGUAAUGGCUGUAAGCGGCCCGUCUUGAAACACGGACCAAGGAGUCUAACAUCUAUGCGAGUGUUUGGGUGUCAAGCCCGAACGCGCAAUGAAAGUGAACGGAGGUGGGAACCCUUAAGGGUGCACCAUCGACCGAUCCUGAUGUCUUCGGAAGGAUUUGAGUAAGAGCAUAGCUGUUGGGACCCGAAAGAUGGUGAACUAUGCUUGAAUAGGGUGAAGCCAGAGGAAACUCUGGUGGAGGCUCGCAGCGGUUCUGACGUGCAAAUCGAUCGUCAAAUUUGGGCAUAGGGGCGAAAGACUAAUCGAACUAUCUAGUAGCU